UGAGUUAAGUUGAGUUGAGUUGAAAAUAUGAUAGGUGAACCUCAGGCACAAGGCACACUAGCCCAAUGGUCUAUGUCUCGGAGCCUCAAAGGUGGGUGAUAUCACUGAGGCUUGCGCCUACCAGCAAAGUUGCAAGGCCCAAAAAUGGCACGCCUCAUAAACCAGCACUUCCUGCGAGCCUUCUCAUGCCUAAAGACCACCACCACUAGACUUGGAAUGCCCCUAUCUAUCUGAAUUCGAUAUCGAUGCGCUAGGACGUCUUUGGAAUUUACAUUUUUGUCACUUGAAUCUUGUUGAAACACCACUAUCGAGGUCGCUUGCUAGCAGUCUUUUUAUUAAAUUCGAAGAGAGUGUUGGGCAUAUUAUACCUUUAUUCAUUUUUAAUAUAGGCUUGUAUAAGUGAUUAUGUUGUUUUAUACAUUAAAAUGAUUAUCUAAUUCAAUGUUGCAACCCAACUAUAUGUAUUUUGCCCUUUCAUUUCAUACAUUU
rnacentral:misc_RNA from 1 species